rnacentral:rRNA from 1 species
UACGUAGGGUGCAAGCGUUAAUCGGAAUUACUGGGCGUAAAGCGUGCGCAGGCGGUUUUGUAAGUCUGACGUGAAAUCCCCGGGCUCAACCUGGGAAUUGCGUUUCUAACUGGCAGGCUUGAGUGUGGCAGAGGGGGGUGGAAUUCCACGUGUAGCAGUGAAAUGCGUAGAGAUGUGGAGGAACACCGGUGGCGAAGGCGGAUCUCUGGGCCAUUACUGACGCUGAGGCGCGAAAGCGUGGGGAGCAAACAGG